rnacentral:misc_RNA from 1 species
GAUGAAGAACGUAGCGAAAUGCGAUAAGUAAUGUGAAUUGCAGAAUUCAGUGAAUCAUCGAAUCUUUGAACGCACAUUGCGCCCGCCAGUAUUCUGGCGGGCAUGCCUGUUCGAGCGUCAUUUCAACCAUCAAGCCCCCGGCUUGUGUUGGGGACCUGCGGCUGCCGCAGGCCCUGAAAAGCAGUGGCGGGCUCGCUGUCACACCGAGCGUAGUAGCAUACAUCUCGCUCUGGGCGUGCUGCGGGUUCCGGCCGUUAAACCACCUUCAUAACCCAAGGUUGACCUCGGAUCAGGUAAGAAGACCCGCUGAACUUAAGCAUAUCAAUAAGCGGAGGA